AUGACAGCCGAUCCGUCGUCGUCGUCGUCGGCCGCGGCGGCGCCGUCGGUGAAGGGCGUGGCGAGGGCGCUGUCCCAGCACCACCGCGCCGUGGUCGGCUUCCUCUUCGGCUUCUUCGUCAUCCUCGUGCUCUACACCACCACGUCCGGCCAGUUCGGGACGACCAACACCAUUGUCGCCCUGCGGUCCACGCCGGCCGAACAGAAUGCCAGGACGUCUCCUCCACCUCCCCCUCCAGCGUCGACACCAGCGUCGUCGUCGGCGCCAAAUAAUAAUUCUACUCAAGGUGCAGUACAUGACAUGGAAAAUGGGAAGAAGGACGAGGCAGCCAAGACGAUGGGAGAAGUACGCAUCGUAGACAAAAACGUACCUGGAACCCAAAUGAAUAAAACGACUGUUAUUAAUUCAGAUACCGUGCAAGCGAAUAGGACAGACCAGUCAGGCCAGACAGUAAAUGAAGCUAGCGACAGGAUGGAGGAAGAGCUCAUUCGGCAAGAACUCGGUCAAGGUGGCGACAAGAACGAGAGCAACGUCAAGCAUGGUGCCCCGCCCAAGCCCAUCUGCGAUCUGUCCGACCCCCGGUACGACAUCUGCGAGAUCUCCGGCGACGCCCGGGCCAUCGGCGUCAACCGUACCAUCCUCUAUGUACCGCCCGCAGCCGAACGCAGCGCCGACGGCCAGGAAUGGGCCAUCAAGGACCAGUCCCGCAAGUACCUGGAGUACAUCGAGAAGGUGAAGGUCAAGACCCUGAGCGCCGCAGAGUCCCUGGUGGCGCCCGAGUGCACCUCCCGGCACGCCGUCCCGGCCGUCGUGUUCGCCAUGAACGGGCUCACGUCCAACCCGUGGCACGACUUCAGCGACGUGAUCGUCCCGCUCUUCAUCACUGCCCGCGCCUACGACGGCGAGGUCCAGUUCCUCGUCACCGACCUCCAGCCGUGGUUCGUGGACAAGUACCGCCUCAUCCUCGCGAACCUGUCCCGCUACGACAUCGUCGACUUCAACAAGGACGCCGGCGUCCGGUGCCACCCGCACAUCGUCGUCGGCCUCCGCAGCCACCGCGACCUCGGCAUCGACCCGACCCGCACGCCGCGCAACUACACGCUGCUGGACUUCCGCAUGUACAUCCGGGACAUCUUCUCGCUGCCGCCCGACGGCCUUGGCAUCCCGUACAAGGAGGCCAAUAAGAACGCGACCGGCGGCGUCGACGGUGGCACGGAGAAACGGAAGCCGCGGCUCAUGCUCAUCAACCGUGGCCGGAACAGGAAGUUCGUCAACAUCCCGGAGAUCUCCGCGGCGGUGGAGGCCGCCGGGUUCGAGGUGGUGGUCGUGGAGCCGCGCCGUGACCUGAGGCUCGAGGAGUUCUCCAAGGCGGUGGACUCGUGCGACGUGCUGAUGGGUGCGCACGGGGCCGGGCUCACAAACUUCUUCUUCCUCCGCACCAACGCGGCGAUGCUGCAGGUGGUGCCGUGGGGCCACAUGGAGCACUCGGCCAUGAUAUUCUACGGCGUGCAGGCCAAGGAGAUGAGGCUGCGGGACGUCGAGUACAGCAUCACCGCCGAGGAGAGCACGCUCUACGAGAAGUACGGCAAGGACCACCCGGCGGUGAGUGACCCGGAGUCGAUACAUAAGCAGGGGUGGCAGCUGGGCAUGAAGUACUACUGGCUGGAGCAGGACAUCAGGCUCAACGUCACCAGAUUUGCUCCAACGCUGCACCAGGUGCUUCGGACGCUCCAGGAAUAG
rnacentral:rRNA from 1 species